UACAGAGGUCUCAAGCGUUGUUCGGAUUCAUUGGGCGUAAAGGGUGCGUAGGUGGCGGGGUAAGUCAGGUGUGAAAUUUCGGAGCUUAACUCCGAAACUGCAUUUGAUACUGCCUUGCUUGAGGACUGGAGAGGAGACUGGAAUUCACGGUGUAGCAGUGAAAUGCGUAGAUAUCGUGAGGAAGACCAGUGGCGAAGGCGGGUCUCUGGACAGUUCCUGACACUGAGGCACGAAGGCCAGGGGAGGCAA
rnacentral:rRNA from 1 species